UACGUAGGGUGCAAGCGUUGUCCGGAAUUAUUGGGCGUAAAGAGCUCGUAGGUGGUUUGUCGCGUUGUCCGUGAAAACUCACAGCUUAACUGUGGGCGUGCGGGCGAUACGGGCAGACUGGAGUACUGCAGGGGAGACUGGAAUUCCUGGUGUAGCGGUGGAAUGCGCAGAUAUCAGGAGGAACACCGGUGGCGAAGGCGGGUCUCUGGGCAGUAACUGACGCUGAGGAGCGAAAGCGUGGGGAGCGAACAGG
rnacentral:rRNA from 1 species